rfam:TPA: Bos taurus chromosome 25, whole genome shotgun sequence.
UCCCUGGUGGCUCAGAUGGUACAGAAUCUGCCUGCAGUGCAGGAGACCCAGGUUCAAUCCCUGGGUGGGGAA